CCUAGUAACUGCGAGUGAAGAGGGAAAAGCUCAAAUUUAAAAUCUGGCAGCUUCGCUGUCCGAGUUGUAAUUUAGAGAAGUGUUACCCGUGUUGGACCGUGUAUAAGUCUCCUGGAAUGGAGCGUCAUAGAGGGUGAGAAUCCCGUCUUUGACACGGACUACCAAUGCAUUGUGGUGCGCUCUCGAAGAGUCGAGUUGUUUGGGAAUGCAGCUCUAAAUGGGUGGUAAAUUCCAUCUAAAGCUAAAUAUUGGCGAGAGACCGAUAGCGAACAAGUACCGUGAGGGAAAGAUGAAAAGAACUUUGGAAAGAGAGUUAAACAGUACGUGAAAUUGCUGAAAGGGAAACGCUUGAAGUCAGUCGCGUUGGCCGGGGAUCAGCCUUGCUUUUGUGAGGUGUACUUCCUGGUUGACGGGUCAGCAUCAGUUUCGACCACUGGAAAAAGAUUUGGGGAAUGUGGCAACCUCGGUUGUGUUAUAGCCCUUUAUCGUAUACAGUGGUUGGGACUGAGGAACUCAGCACGCCGCAAGGCCGGGUUUCGACCACGUUCGUGCUUAGGAUGCUGGCAAAAUGGCUUUAAGCGACCCGUCUUGAAACACGGACCAAGGAGUCUAACAUGCUUGCGAGUGUUUGGGUGGAAAACCCGAGCGCGUAAUGAAAGUGAAAGUUGGGAUCUCUGUCGUGGAGAGCACCGACGCCCGGACCAGAAGUUUACUGACGGAUCUGCGGUAGAGCACGUAUGUUGGGACCCGAAAGAUGGUGAACUAUGCCUGAAUAGGGUGAAGCCAGAGGAAACUCUGGUGGAGGCUCGUAGCGAUUCUGACGUGC
rnacentral:rRNA from 1 species